AUGGCCGGUACCACCGGGAUCCAGGGAUCUGGGACCACUGGGAUUUGGCUUCCCAGUAUCCAGCAUCACUGGGAUCCGCUGGGAUUUGGCUCUCAGGGAUCCAGCACCACCGGGAUCUGGGGAUCUGGCAGGGAUGGGGUUUGGUGCUCGGAUGUUGGGCACCACCGGGAUCCGGGGAUCCAGCACCACCAGGGUUUGGCUCUCCGGGAUCUGGCGCUGCCAGGAUGUGACUCUUGGGCAUCUGGGAUCCGGGGAUCCGGCACCGCCGGGGGUUUGGCUCCCCGGGAUCCGGCACCACUGGGUUCCAGGGAUCCGGCACCGCCGGGGUUUGGCUCCCCGGGAUCUGGGAGCACCGGGAUUUGGGGAUCCAGGCUCUGGCUCCAGGCGGUUCCGGCUCCGCGGCAGCGGGUGCAGGUGUGUGGUGGGGCCGUGUCCCUCUGUCCCCUCCCCGUGUCCCUCUGUCCCCUCCCCGUGUCCCUGUCCCUCUGCACAUCCAGGGGUCCGUGUCCAUGCAUGUCCCUCCGUGUCCCCGUGUCCGUCUGUGCGUCCCCGUGUCUGUCCCUCCAUGUCACCCCAUGUCACUCCGUGUCCCUCUGUGUCCUUGUCCCUGUCGCCGUGUCCAUCCGUGUCCUUUUAUGUCUCUGUCCCUCCGUGUCCCUCUGUCCCCCCACAUCCAUGCAUGUCCCUCUGUUGUCCCCCUGUGUCUACGCGCGUCCCCCUGUGUCUACGCGCGUCCCCCUGUGUCUGUCUGUCCCCCAGUGUCCACACGUGUCCCUCUGUCCCUUUGUGUAUCCCUCUGUCCCCCAUGUCCACGUGUGUCCCUCCAUCCCUCCGUGUCUCUCUGUCCCCCCAUGUCCACACGUGUCCCUCCGUGUCCACAUGUGUCCCUCUGUCCCUCCGUGUCCCUGUCCCUCCAUGUCCAUGCGUGUCCCUCUGGCUGUGUCCCUCUGUCCCUCCGUGUCUACGUGUGUCCCUCUGUCUUUCCAUGUCCCCCGUGUCCCUCUGUGUCCACGUGUGUCCCUCUGUCCCUCCGUGUCCCUCUGUCCUCCAUGUCCACACCCAUCCCUCCCAUUCCCAUGUCCCUCUGUCCCUCCGUGUCCCUCUGUCCUCCAUGUCCACACCCAUCCCUCCCAUUCCCAUGUCCCUCUGUCCCUCCGUGUCCCUCUGUCCUCCAUGUCCACACCCAUCCCUCCCAUUCCCAUGUCCCUCUGUCCCUCCGUGUCCACAUGUGUCCCUCUCCCCCACAUCCACACGUGUCCCUCUGUCUUUCCGUGUCCCUCUGUCCCUCCGUGUCCCUCUGUCCUCCAUGUCCACACCCAUCCCUCCCAUUCCCAUGUCCCUCUGUCCCUCCGUGUCCCUCUGUCCCCCUGUAUCCAUGUGUGUCCCUGUCUUUCCGUGUCCCUCUGUCCCCCCACGUCCACGCAUGUCCACACGUGUCCCUCCAUGUCCACACGUGUCCCUCUGUCCCUCCGUGUCCACAUGUGUCUCUCUGUCCCUCCGUGUCCCUCUGUCCCCCCACAUCCAUGCAUGUCCCUCUGUUGUCCCCCUGUGUCUACGCGCGUCCCCCUGUGUCUACGCGCGUCCCCCUGUGUCUGUCUGUCCCCCAGUGUCCACACGUGUCCCUCUGUCCCUUUGUGUAUCCCUCUGUCCCCCAUGUCCACGUGUGUCCCUCCAUCCCUCCGUGUCUCUCUGUCCCCCCAUGUCCACACGUGUCCCUCCGUGUCCACAUGUGUCCCUCUGUCCCUCCGUGUCCCUGUCCCUCCAUGUCCAUGCGUGUCCCUCUGGCUGUGUCCCUCUGUCCCUCCGUGUCUACGUGUGUCCCUCUGUCUUUCCAUGUCCCCCGUGUCCCUCUGUGUCCACGUGUGUCCCUCUGUCCCCCACAUCCACAUGUGUCCCUCUGUCCCCUGUGUCCCUCUGUGUCCACACGUAUCUCUCUGUCCCUCCCUGUCCCUCUGUCCCCCACGUCCACGCGUGUCCCUCUGUCCCUCCGUGUCCCUCUGUCCUCCAUGUCCACACCCAUCCCUCCCAUUCCCAUGUCCCUCUGUCCCUCCGUGUCCACAUGUGUCCCUCUCCCCCACAUCCACACGUGUCCCUCUGUCUUUCCGUGUCCCUCUGUCCCCCCAUGUCCACGCAUGUCCCUCCCCAUUCCCAUGUCCCUCUGUCCCCCAUGUCCACGCGUGUCCCUCUGUCCCUCCGUGUCCCUCUGUCUUUCCGUGUCCCUCUGUCCCCCCAUGUCCACGCAUGUCCCUCCCCAUUCCCAUGUCCCUCUGUCCCCCAUGUCCACGCGUGUCCCUCUGUCCCUCCGUGUCCCUCUGUCUUUCCGUGUCCCUCUGUCCCCAACAUCCACACCCCGUGUCCCUCCCCCUUCCCCGUGUCCCUCCCCGUUCCCGCGUCCCGCCCUCCCCACCUCACACACGCCUGCCACACGCCUCCUACAUGCCCCCACACGCCUCCCACACGCCUCCCACACGCCAUGGCCCCCUCGGGGCCACCGGAACGGGGUUCUCUGGCCCGUUUGGCUCGAGACACCUCCUGCCCGGCCUGUGGGCUGGCGCUGAGGGACCCCGUCCUCCUGCCCUGCAACCACAGCUGCUGCCGACGCUGCCUG
rnacentral:lncRNA from 1 species